UUGUGUAUUUUCCUGUUCAAAUACGGGGGAAAGACACGAAGGGGGGCAGCGACGAGCUGAGCCUCCUCUCGGAUUGCGCAAUCCCUCACAAACUGGAUUGAGCUGCUCAUUUUUUUUUUCUUUUUUUCCCAGCUUGAGCAUGUGCAAUUGAUCUCUCUGUAUGUCACCAAGGUAAUAUUUGUACACACUUUAAUUAUAUCUCCUCACAUUCCAUAGACUAGGUCAUGUAUUUCACUUAUGCGUAUAACUUAUUAGUCUUGCUGAUCUGACAUAACACCACAGUGAAAAAGCAGGAGGGGAGGCAGACAGUACCUCUGCCUCACUGGAGGGGGCGUGUGUGAGCAUACGGGCUUGUUCUGCUAUUAUUCUUCUUCACGUAUUACAGACAAAUGGCACUGUGGGUAAUAUGCUAGCUAAAAUAUUCAAGUAGAGAAAGUCAAGUGCAUCGCAUCAGUCCGUUUAUUUUUAUUUUUAAAAUGGAAGAUUAUAUAGAUAAGCUAAAACAUUUCGCAAAACUGGACUUUCAAUCAAUACUGGAAGGGAUAAAUAAUAGAAGACCGAUGCCGGAGCUAAAAGAUUUGCUUCAAUUGACGGGACAGAAGAUAACACGCUCUUUUCACACGGAGCGGUACACCCGAAAUCACUGGCUGUGUGGUUGUGCUCCGAGAAACCGCCUUUUCUGCUUUCCAUGCCUUUUGUUCUCAACGAGUGACAACGUCUGGACUACAACGGGAUUUUGUGACUUGAAAAAUAUACCAAGAAGCCUCAGCAGACAUGAAAGUUCAACUACUCACCUUCAAAGCCAAAUUGCUUUAAAAACUUUUUGAAGCGCAAGGAUAGAUUUGGCUUUGAACGAACAGCAGAGAAAAAAUAUUAGCGUCCACAAUGCUAAGGUAAAGGAAAACAAAGAGAUUUUAAAAGACCUCAUUAAUGCAACUUGCUUCCUAUCCUAACAGCAAUUAGCAUUUCGUGGUAACGAUGAGAGUGUGACCUCUUCUAAUCGUGGCAACUAUGUAGAACUAUUACAUGCUUUUGCUGAGAAAGAUGAUAGGUUAGCUAGACAUUUGGAGACAUCCACUGUGUUUUCGGGCUUAUCAAACAGAAUUCAGAACAAUUUAAUUGAAGCAUUAAGUGAUGUGAUUAGAAAUGAUAUAAAAAAGGAGAUUAAUGUAGCCCUAUUUGUUGCUGUAGAAGUAGACGAGACAACGAUUUUCACAAACAAAGCCCAGAUCUGUCAUGCGUUCUGUGGCGUGAAGUGAGGUGGCCUGUGAAGUGAGAGAGGUGUUUUGGGGAUUUGAUGAUGUGAGUAAUGACAGAUGAGUAAAGUUGGUACCGCUGUCUGAUCUCAUAUGAACAACUUGUCCUCAUCUGCAAAUAAAUCUGCAUAGGGAAUUAAUGCAUCAGUGUCCAAGGAAUAGGCAACUUCCAGGUGAACAGCUCUACUUGCCAUGCACGUAAAGAUGACUCCAUAACAUUUCACAAUGGAGCGUCUUCUUUUGUCCUCUAUAGGACCAAAAUAAUCCACUCCUACAUUCGUAAAUGGAAGAAGAUCGGGAAUGAGUCUCUCUUUCGGCAAGUCUGCCAUCUUCUGCUCGCCCACUUAAGUUCCCCUUAACUGCUUUGUCUUAGCUUCCUCUGCUUUGUACGCAUCGAUUAGCUUCCUUUUCAGAUACUCAGUCAGCUGCUUAGAGGAGCCCAUGGUUGUUGAAUGUUAGGACACGAUCUGAAGAGUCAGAUAAUUUAUUACAUUCUGAAAUAGUUAUUCCUAAUUACAAUUCUUCAUCUACAGAAUAAGUCAAUUAAGCCCUAACAAAACUUUACAACUGGCAGGGUGUCCAAACUUUUGCACAUGCCACAUAUGGUUGUUUUUUUCCCCCUAUUUCUCAAGUUAAACAAAUAUAAAAUUACCUGUGCACUAACAUUUACAGGACAAUGUUAAUGGCUGUACCGGGUGUGUUUACUUCAAAAAUCAAUGAAAUAUGUACAUUACCAAAGAAAAACACCAAAUAACUAACACAGGUUCUUUUACCUCCUGGAACACCCUACUAACUGAUUUUAUAAUAAAACUGCACCACAGUGUAUCUGACAGAAUUUGU